GGCAAGAUGGCCGAGUGGUCUAAGGCGCCGCACUCAAGCGAAUAGCUUAUCUGUAUACCAACGGGUUCAUUGCGGUCUCGAAAGAGGCGUGGGUUCAAAUCCCACUCUUGUCA